UGUGGUUCUGGAGUGACGGAACGCCUUUCCACUUUACUCAGUGGUGUCCUGGACAGCCUGAUAACGCUGGUGGUCGUCAGAACUGUAUUGGUUUUAAUUUUAGAGACUCGAAAUGCUGGGAUGACCUCUAUUGUGAUUGGCAGUUCCCAUCUAUCUGUGUCAGAGAGGAAUGAUAAAAGCAUGUGUUUGUGUAUCUGAGAGGAAAUUCGUCUCUCUCCAGCCACCAGUCUCAUAUUUGACCUGAAUUCUCUUUAUCUCGAUUUACAUCUUUAUUUCUUCUCUAUCGCUGUAACGCUACUUAAGGAAAGAAGCGACAAGUGACAUAAACAGCAGCUGGAUUGUCUCUGUCUCUUUAAUACGAGCAGACUGAAUGUGUAAUGAAAAGAAAGCUUUUAGCACAACUUUA